CGCGUAGGCGGGAGAACAAGUCAGAUGUGAAAUGUGGGGGCUUAACCCUCAAGCUGCAUUUGAAACUGUACUUCUUGAGUAUCGGAGAGGCAGGCGGAAUUCCUAGUGUAGCGGUGAAAUGCGUAGAUAUUAGGAGGAACACCAGUGGCGAAGGCGGCCUGCUGGACGACAACUGACGCUGAGGCGCGAAAGCGUGGGGAGCAAACAGGAUUAGAUACCCUGGUAGUCCACGCUGUAAACGAUGAAUACUAGGUGUGGGGGGACUAACCCCCUCCGUGCCGCAGUUAACACAAUAAGUAUUCCACCUGGGGAGUACGGCCGCAAGGUUGAA
rnacentral:rRNA from 1 species